CUUUUUCCAUGUAUGGAAGGAACACUUGACGUAGUCCAAAAAAAAGUUCUUACCAAUCUGCUGAUGCCUUAUAUUGAAUCUCAUCCUCUAUGAUCAAGUAGCCUAAGGAGUUUUGGUUACCUGUUAUGAUCCUAAAGAAUGUCAGCAGCUUUUUAUUUGUGAAGAGCCACAUGUUAACACCAAUGUGCAUGUGACAUGGAAAAGGAACAGAUUAUGGAAACCAACUUCUGUUUCAACCUUGCAGGAGGCUGCAUGAAGUGGGCUGUGAAGCUUGUGAUCUCUAUACUGCAGCAAAUGACCUGAUUUAGAACUGUGAAGUCAUAUGUCCCAAGUAUAUCCUCUAUCUGACAUGUCAGUAGCUUGGAAGUUCAAGUACUUGAUGUCUAUUUGCCAAAAAAUGUAGAUUCGUUACAUUCAUGCCUAUUGCCAAGACUCCACUCAGCAGUGUUAAUUCAGUGUAAACUUUUUUGUGUGUGUAUGUGAUACAUCUGUCAUGAGGAAAAACUUAUGAUAAAAAGCAUCCUUCCAAAGCAAUCACUCUUUGCUUUAUUCAAAAAGAAUGUUGUCACUAGGAUGGCUGUAAGAGCUAGUGUUUUUAUCUACAGGUCAGAAGUCCUCAACCAAAGUGAAUAUUUAACCACUAUUCUAAGGAUAGACAAUUAUCUUUUUCCUCCUAAAGUAUGUGAUUAGGAGUCAAAGUGAUGGACCCUGGAAAACUGUAGAACAUUUCAAGUACUAACGUAACUUCAGGCAUCCAGUGUACUCUUUCUGUUUUGCAAAACUUAGCAAGUAUAAAACAAAUUCUGAAAGCCACCUGAACAAAAGGAGGGGGAAAAUUCCAGACUUACCUUGGAGGAGAGUUAUGCUCCUAAACUACUACACCAAAAAACUAUUUUCAGGAUUAUUUUCUCAUCUCUUCUAGUCUAUUUACCUAAGAAAAUUGGGUAUAUGCAGUACUGUCUGCUGCCUUCUCCAUUCCAAUAAUUUUGAACCUACUGGCAAGUCAUGCCAAAAUUGAGUAGUGAUUGCAAAGGCAUUAAAGUCCUAUAUUUUUUUAUGAAAGUUGGCAACUGGAAAGAAGAAAGGAACACAUUAUUGACCCUGCUGAGGAAAUGACGCAAUGCGAGUUCAACAAUUAUCUGUUCUGUUUGGCCUGUCAAUCGCCAAUCAGCAUAGGAGCACUAGCAAGCCAGUUGCAACAUGUAACUCUGAACCAGCUACAGCAUGCGUUUGCUGUUUGCCUAGUCAGUAGUUCAGGGACAUUGUAUGGGGAGAGUGAACUAGAAGUAUUGUGAGAAAGCGAAAGAUCGAGGAGGCAUGAUAUGAAGACGUGGGGAGACAACGAUAUGAAAAUUUUAAGUUCUUGAAUGCAUAUCAAGAGAAAUUAAAGUUUUUAUUUCUUCUCACAGAAGUUGUCCUUAUUCCAGUGUUUUAAUACUGCUAAUAGUAAAUACCAAUAUGAAUUCUACUUUUCAUUUGUGGGUAGUGUCGUAAGUUAAUGCCCUCAGGCUUUUGUCAUGUUGUUUAAACUCACAGUUGUAUACAACAUCAAAAAUCUCAUUACCAGUUAACAAAAUAACUCAGAAUACUUGGUAUCCAUAAAAUUCAUCGGAUUAUGUUGCAGAAUGAGGCCAGGUAUUAGGUGUAUUCAGCUGACAAGUAUUUUUGUCACAGGAAUUUUCCUUUGCUCUGUUGAGAGUAAGCAAGGUUGAAAUCACACAGGAGUAAUAAGUACACUCACAGAACAAAAGAUUUAGUUAAGUAUUUCUCAGCCUUCAUUUUGGUAUAAAUUUAAACUUAAGGCAAGUAUUUUUAUUUAUAACAAAGCAAGAAUUAUUAGUUUUUAGAGUAUGUUACUACCAGUCCUGUCAGUAAGAAAUGUCUGUUUAGCAGUAUAUAACAACUGCUGUCACGCAUAAGGGUCUUUGGAGGCACGACAAAAGGAAUUCAAUAUUCUAGUUUAUAAGAACACAUUUAAGGUAUACAUGAACCCAAAGGAAUGUCAAAAUCUUACUCUAGUUUUAGAAACUGCUUUUUGUUGAAUUAUCAAAGACCUUACUCAACUCUGUAAGUUAGUGGUGAUUUUUUUCUUUUAUAUGUAUAAAUACAGACUGUCUAAAAUCUCUUUGUUAGUAAUAGUUAUUAGACAGCUUUGCUUAUGGUAACAGUUGUGAUGUCCUGGAUAGGAAAGUUGUGUAUGUUGUAUCUUUUUUUUUUUUUUUUAAUCAAGCACAUGAACAAUUAAAAUUUCUGAGGUAUAGAGGUUUAUGUAACAGUACAGUCAAUAUAAUUUAAUGGAAAAUCGCCAGAAAUUCUGCCUAGCACUGCCUCUGUAUGUAUUAAAUUAUAAUUUUAAUUGACAAUUUUAGCUGUGCAGAUGGCUUUAAUUUGUUACCCUCUGAAGUUUAUUUUUACCAUAUGUAUUGAAAAUGUACUCUGCAGGAGACUUAGCAAGGGGCUUACAUUUUAUUUACUUCAAAAAUUGAUUAUAUUGGAGGUAAUCAUUUAGUCACCACACUAAAAUGCAAUUUGUAUUUGCCUUUUACCCACAGAUAUCUUUAUCCUUCAACACAUGAAGUCUCUAGAAUAUCAGGGCAUCAUUAGAAAAUUGUUGAGAAGUUCCUCUGCAUAAUCUGAGAUGCAGUACUCAAUGUGUAAGGAAACAAUUGCAACAUUUCUGUUUAGUCUCAAGCAUCUGGUUUCCAAGUGAGCACUGUGUUAGGACAGAUGUGUAGGCUAUUUGUAAAUGCUGAAUAUGUAGGAAUUGGCUUUGACUCAACCUCUAAAACUUUCAGAUAAUAUUUUUAGAAGAAACAUUGAUGAUGUUUUAGGAAAUCUAAUGUGUGCACGCAGUUCAUAGGACAUACUUUUUGUGGUUUUUUUUUUAAUCUCUCUUGAUUUUGAGCAUACCUUGCAGCCAGAUACAGCUUCAGUCUGAGAUACUGACCUGACUGCCAGAGCUCUGAUUUCUCAAGCUGAGGUAUUCUUCAUUGUUCAUUGAUUCAAAAUCUUGGCGUAGAUAAUUAGCUUGACAAACAUUUGUACAGUAUUGCAAAACAUAAAAAAGUGUUAAACUUUUAGGUGACUUCCAGAUAAAUGCAUAAGUAGUUUUGGGACAGAUGGGGAAAGUAAGAGAGCUUUAAGUUCAUUAACAUGGUAAUAAAAUAUACCACAUACUCA
ensembl:lncRNA